rnacentral:rRNA from 1 species
GAACGCUGGCGGCGUGCUUAACACAUGCAAGUCGAACGGGCAAGAGCUGUAGCAAUACAGAAUUCUGCUAGUGGCAGACGGGUGAGUAAUACAUGGGAAUCUACCUUGCAGUGCGAAAUAACAGUUGGAAGCAAUUGCUAAUGUCGCAUAUAGCCGAGAGGUGAAAGAUUUAUCGCUGCAAGACGAGCCCAUGCAGGAUUAGCUAGUUGGUGGGGUAAUGGCUCACCAAGGCGACGAUCUUUAGUUGGUCUGAGAGGACGACCAGCCACACUGGGACUGAGACACGGCC